AAGUCGUAACAAGGUUUCCGUAGGUGAACCUGCGGAAGGAUCAUUAACAAUACGUUGAGCGUGUCCCUUUGUGGUGCACGGCUCUAUUUGUUGAUUUGUGAACUGGUCUAUGCGAAGACGAAGAAGAACUCCUGCAAAGGAGGAUCAUCGUCGUCGUCGCUAAGAUGCCACAUUUGCUCUUUGUAUCAAUUUAAAAUCUUAAGCUGUGCUUUUGGACUCGCCUCAGGGCGUGACAAUGGUCAGCUAAAACUGUAUAACCAAGACAACUUUCAGCAAUGGAUCUCUUGGCUCUU
rnacentral:misc_RNA from 1 species